rnacentral:tRNA from 1 species
ACUUUCAAUGGACAAAAGUCGUCCAAUGGCCU